rnacentral:rRNA from 1 species
UACGUAGGGGGCUAGCGUUGUCCGGAAUCAUUGGGCGUAAAGCGCGUGUAGGCGGUCCGGUAAGUCCGCUGUGAAAGUCGGGGGCUCAACCCUCGGAUGCCGGUGGAUACUGUCGGGCUUGAGUACGGAAGAGGCGAGUGGAAUUCCUGGUGUAGCGGUGAAAUGCGCAGAUAUCAGGAGGAACACCGGUGGCGAAGGCGGCAUCCUGGACCGGCAUUGACGCUGAGGCGCGAAAGCUAGGGGAGCAAACGGG